rnacentral:rRNA from 1 species
GACGAACGCUGGCGGCGUGCUUAACACAUGCAAGUCGAACGAAGUGGCGAACGGGUGAGUAACGCGUAAUCAACCUGCCCUUCAGAGGGGGACAACAGUUGGAAACGACUGCUAAUACCGCAUACUGAAGGAGGGGAUUGCGUCUGAUUAGCUGGUUGGAGGGGUAACGGCCUACCAAGGGGAUGAUCAGUAGCCGGUCUGGGCGGGUGGACGGCCAAAUUGGGACUGGGACACGGCCCAGAAUCCUACGGGAGGCAGCCGGGGGGAAUCUUCCGCAAUGGACGAAAGUCUGACGGAGCAACGCCGCGUGAGGUAUGACGGCCUUCGGGUUGUAAAGCUCUGUUAAUCGGGACGCGGUACCGGAAUAGGAAGCCACGGCUAACUACGUGCCAGCAGCCGCGGUAAUUC